AAUCAUCAGCCAGAUCAGAAAACAGAUGCCAGUGAUUCUUGUUUGUCGGACCCACUACAUAAGAGCAUCCACUUGGAAAAAACAGUUGUAAGUAACGAACUUCUUCCUCCCAACUCGUAUGUGGUGCAAGCUGGCGUUCGGGAUAUAAAAAGUUUUUUCUUGAGUAAAAAAUACGAAGAGGACGAUCAAAGCCAACACUAGAAGCAAUUUCUAAUAGGCGAGGCAAACUAGCCAGUAGUGUAGUGGUUCCGCAUGUUUUAAGGAUAAUUUUAUGGGCAAACACAAACAUAGAGGAUUCAGAAAGUAAAUAUGCAUCUAUUUCUUCACUAUUAACAACGCUGAGGACUUUACAUUGGGCUUGGGCUAGCAUAUCAUCCCAAUCAUUGCGAGAAACAGCUUUUAGUCCCAAGUUAGCCUUUUCACCCGCACUUAAAUUGGUUUUUAUAGGAGCCGAAAACCAUAGUUCCAGCAAUUUUUCAGGACCUUCAAAUGAGGAGGUGUUAAAUUCUUCCGAAUUCUCUUGAUCAACAACAAGGGUAGGAGACAUUUUAGAAUAUAGUCAUACAAAGAACUUCCAAUGCUAUAUGUGCGCUGUGAGUGUAAUUCCCAAAACACGUACUAGCUAGUUGCUCCAGUUACACUUUUAGGAUAUUUAUUAGCAAAAAAGCAUACAAAUAAUAACUUAAUUG